rnacentral:pre_miRNA from 1 species
UGCCAUAAGAAGAUGAAACUGCCAGAUGAUCUGAUGCAUGUCUCUAGGUUUUGUAAAUCAUCAUCAGCUAGAGAACUACUGUGAUCAGAUCAUGCUGGCAGCUUCAUCCACUUGUGGU